CUCUCUCCUACAGUGUUUGGCAAUGGUAGAACUCACUCUGGUGGGUUGAGAGGAUCCGGUGGUUCUAGACUUGCCAAAAACUGGCCGAGAGUU
rnacentral:pre_miRNA from 1 species